rnacentral:rRNA from 1 species
AGCGAACGCUGGCGGCAGGCUUAACACAUGCAAGUCGAACGCAUCCUUCGGGGUGAGUGGCAGACGGGUGAGUAACACGUGGGAACGUACCCUUCGAUCUGGGAUAACUUCGGGAAACUUGAGCUAAUACCGGAUACGCCCUUUUGGGGAAAGGUUUACUGUCGAAGGAUCGGCCCGCGUCUGAUUAGCUAGUUGGUGGGGUAACGGCCUACCAAGGCGACGAUCAGUAGCUGGUCUGAGAGGAUGAUCAGCCACACUGGGACUGAGACACGGCCCAGACUCCUACGGGAGGCAGCAGUGGGGAAUAUUGGACAAUGGGCGCAAGCCUGAUCCAGCCAUGCCGCGUGAGUGAUGAAGGCCUUAGGGUUGUAAAGCUCUUUUGUCCGGGACGAUAAUGACGGUACCGGAAGAAUAAGCCCCGGCUAACUUCGUG